CAGGGAGACAACAAAAUGUUUAAUAUUAUUAUUUUGUCACCUUAGGUCGAUCGGUAUCUCACGUUCUUAAUUAGUUAAGAAUUUCAUUUCCUAAGUUUUUCUAGGUCACACCCAUUAUUUUUCCUGGGCCAUUAGCUCAGGUGGUUAGAGCGCACCCCUGAUAAGGGUGAGGUCCCUGGUUCAAGUCCGGGAUGGCCCAUAUCUCUAUGUUGGGGGUAUAGCUCAGUUGGUAGAGCGCCUGCUUUGCAAGCAGGAUGUCAGCGGUUCGAGUCCGCUUACCUCCACUGAUUACCACCUCUUCCAUAACCGAUAGAAAGGAAAUGUUUUGAGUUGUGAUCAUUAUUCUGAACGAAUCUAGCUUCCUAAUGAAAUUCAUUAAGAUGCUGGACUCAUUGAAUUAAUUUCAUUGUUUUCAGAGAACCUUGACAACUGCAUAGAUUAUUUUUAAAGGCAAUAAGCAUCUUUAAUGAUGCAGAUUUAUUAUUUGUGCGAAUGCAUUAAUAACAAUUCUAUUAAGCUGAUGCUUCAAUUUUUGAAGUUAUU
rnacentral:tRNA from 1 species